UUUUUGUUGGCUUCAGACUGCUCAGGCCUUUUGCUGGGAGACCAGAGGCUGUGAUCUCCGUCCACUAACUUAAUGUAGAAAGUGAAAAUCUAUCACGUGAUUUGCCACCACUCUAACUUCCGUCUUUCCUCCGCCUCUUCAGUCAUUCAAGGCAUUCGUUUGGCUACAGCAGAUCCCUCACAUUCUUCAGGGGAACUGGUGCAUCUCUGGAGAGACGGGAGCACUGCGAGUGGACCGCUUGGGAAGUGUGCGUGUUGGUUCUGGAAUGGGGCCUGUGUCAUAGGAUUAUGGAAGCUGGAAAGUACAGAAUCUACAGGAUCCACAUCCCAGUUUGAGUCCAGAGGCCAGAAGUGCUGUAGAACCAGAGCUGCUGUCCUAGCUGGAAGGCCAUGAGGCAGGAGAAUUCUGUCUGACUUGGGGCAGCAGGGUUCAGUGGGAUUUAUGACCACCGUGUGUCCUGACUAUAACCGAGCUAUAAAGGGAAGUCAGCUGAAAAGCACGUAGGAAAGAUUUUCCUCCCCACUAAAAAGAAAUAUACACAAGAAGAAUCUUCCUCUCCUGUCUCCUUUCGUUAUAUAUUUGAAUGCAGUUGUAUGAGAUAUGAUGCCUGGAGCUGUGGCAGCCAUCUUGCAUCCAUGAGGUGACAAGCCUAUAAAAAAAAGGAAGAAAGAAAGAAAAAAACAA